CAAUAGCGUAUAUUUAAGUUGUUGCAGUUAAAAAGCUCGUAGUCGGAUUUUGGCUGAGAACGAUCGGUCCGCCGUUAGGUGUGCACUGAUUGGUCUCAGCUUCCUGGUGAGGAGGUGUGCUUCACGGCCACUUAGUCACCGUGGUUACUUUGAAAAAAUUAGAGUGUUCAAAGCGGGCUUCCGCUUGAAUAUAUUAGCAUGGAAUAACACCAUAGGACUCCUGUCCUAUUUCGUUGGUCUCGGGACGGGAGUAAUGAUUAAGAGGAACAGUUGGGGGCAUUCGUAUUUCAUUGUCAGAGGUGAAAUUCUUGGAUUUAUGAAAGACGAACUUCUGCGAAAGCAUUUGCCAAGGAUGUUUUCAUUGA
rnacentral:rRNA from 1 species